rnacentral:rRNA from 1 species
AUUGAACGCUGGCGGCAUGCCUUACACAUGCAAGUCGAACGGCAGCGCGGACUUCGGUCUGGCGGCGAGUGGCGAACGGGUGAGUAAUACAUCGGAACGUACCCUGUUGUGGGGGGUAACUAGUCGAAAGAUUAGCUAAUACCGCAUACGACCUGAGGGUGAAAGUGGGGGACCGCAAGGCCUCACGCAGCAGGAGCGGCCGAUGUCUGAUUAGCUAGUUGGUGGGGUAAAGGCCCACCAAGGCGACGAUCAGUAGCUAGUCUGAGAGGACGAUCAGCCACACUGGGACUGAGACACGGCCCAGACUCCUACGGGAGGCAGCAGUGGGGAAUUUUGGACAAUGGGGGCAACCCUGAUCCAGCAAUGCCGCGUGUGUGAAGAAGGCCUUCGGGUUGUAAAGCACUUUUGUCCGGAAAGAAAUCGCGCUGGUUAAUACCUGGCGUGGAUGACGGUACCGGAAGAAUAAGCACCGGCUAACUACGUG